UACGUAGGGAGCAAGCGUUGUCCGGAAUCAUUGGGCGUAAAGCGCGCGUAGGCGGCCCGGUAAGUCCGCUCUGAAAGUCCAGGGCUCAACCCUGGAAUGCGGGUGGAUACUGCCGGGCUAGAGGACGGUAGAGGCGAGUGGAAUUGCCGGUGUAGCGGUGAAAUGCGCGGAUAUCGGGAGGAACACCAGUAGCGAAGGCGGCUCGCUGGGCCGUUCCUGACGCUGAGACGCGAAAGCUAGGGGAGCGAACAGG
rnacentral:rRNA from 1 species